UUAUCUCCCUUGGAUAAGCCAAAACAGUUUUAUAUCCUGUUGGAUAGCAGCUCUGGACUCAUGGAUUCACCUAAUCCGAUCCUCGGCUUCAUUAUGGACACAUAAUCCAUUUUCGUUAUUGGAACCCAAGUUUCCAAUGUUCACAUACAAUCAUGAAUGCAUGAUUACUUUUAAACACAUCAAAUACAUGACGCUAUCU
rnacentral:lncRNA from 1 species